UCUCCGUAGGUGAACCUGCGGAGGGAUCAUUACAAGUGACCCCGGUCUUACCACCGGGAUGUUCAUAACCCUUUGUUGUCCGACUCUGUUGCCUCCGGGGCGACCCUGCCUUCGGGCGGGGGCUCCGGGUGGACACUUCAAACUCUUGCGUAACUUUGCAGUCUGAGUAAACUUAAUUAAUUAAUUAAAACUUUUAACAACGGAUCUCUUGGUUCUG
rnacentral:misc_RNA from 1 species